GGAAGAUAUAAUCCUAAUGAUAUGGUUUGGGAGUUUCUACCAAGAGCCUUAAACUCUUGAUUAUCUUCC
rnacentral:ncRNA from 1 species